AUCCCGAUGAUGAGUCCAUAAUAGGGCGAAACAUGCGUCCUGGAU
rfam:Schistosoma rodhaini strain Burundi genome assembly, scaffold: SROB_scaffold0001154